AUUGGGUUGGCUAAAAAGUUCAUUUGUUUUUUUCCAUAAGAUGGUGCAGAAAAACCCAAAUGAACUUUAUGGCCAAUUCAAU
rnacentral:miRNA from 1 species